rnacentral:rRNA from 1 species
AGUGAACGCUGGCGGUAGGCCUAACACAUGCAAGUCGAACGGCAGCACAGUAAGAGCUUGCUCUUACGGGUGGCGAGUGGCGGACGGGUGAGGAAUACAUCGGAAUCUACUUUUUCGUGGGGGAUAACGUAGGGAAACUUACGCUAAUACCGCAUACGACCUACGGGUGAAAGCAGGGGAUCUUCGGACCUUGCGCGAUUGAAUGAGCCGAUGUCGGAUUAGCUAGUUGGCGGGGUAAAGGCCCACCAAGGCGACGAUCCGUAGCUGGUCUGAGAGGAUGAUCAGCCACACUGGAACUGAGACACGGUCCAGACUCCUACGGGAGGCAGCAGUGGGGAAUAUUGGACAAUGGGCGCAAGCCUGAUCCAGCCAUACCGCGUGGAUGAAGAAGGCCUUCGGGUUGUAAAGCCCUUUUGUUGGGAAAGAAAAGCAGCAGGUUAAUACCCCGCUGUUCUGACGGUACCAAAAGAAUAAGCACCGGCUAACUUCGUG